rnacentral:rRNA from 1 species
AUGGUAUGGUGGAAGAUUUGUGUUCCGAAAAACCAAGGAGGUAUGGGCUUUCGAUACAUACACUGUUUUAAUUUGGCUUUGUUUACCAAACAAGCUUGGCGUCUUCUUGAUAAUCCUAAUUCGUUAUGUUCCACAAUCUUAAGAGCCUAGUAUUUCCUGGAGGGUGAUUUGAGGAACACGAGUUUAAAAAAGGGUUCCUACUUUACUUGGCAAAGCAUUAUGAUAGGAGUAGACUCUCUCAUAAAUGGAUAUAUUUCAUGA